rnacentral:SRP_RNA from 1 species
AGGGAUGAACCGGCCCAGGGCGGCGACGCAGCAGGCAAAAGUCCCC